AGGGUGAAUCGGCCUGGAAGCUGUUCAUUCUCUCCCAAGCCUGAAACAGCGGAUAAACGACCCCACCUCAUGCUGGGAAGAGAGAGCUUGGGAUCCCUGGCACGUGAGAACCAGAGCCUGGUGUAGAUCAGAGCUCUCCAUCCAGAGUGUCAUGACUUAGCUGCAUGCUUUCACCAGCAGGGAGGAGGGAACUGAUACUGGAGG
rnacentral:lncRNA from 1 species